rnacentral:rRNA from 1 species
GGGUUGUGAGGUUAAGCGACUAAGCGUACACGGUGGAUGCCCUGGCAGUCAGAGGCGAUGAAGGACGUGCUAAUCUGCGAUAAGCGUCGGUAAGGUGAUAUGAACCGUUAUAACCGGCGAUUUCCGAAUGGGGAAACCCAGUGUGAUUCGUCACACUAUCAUUAACUGAAUCCAUAGGUUAAUGAGGCGAACCGGGGGAACUGAAACAUCUAAGUACCCCGAGGAAAAGAAAUCAACCGAGAUUCCCCCAGUAGCGGCGAGCGAACGGGGAGCAGCCCAGAGCCUGAAUCAGUGUGUGUGUUAGUGGAAGCGUCUGGAAAGGCGCGCGAUACAGGGUGACAGCCCCGUACACAAAAAUGCACAUACUGUGAGCUCGAUGAGUAGGGCGGGACACGUGGUAUCCUGUCUGAAUAUGGGGGGACCAUCCUCCAAGGCUAAAUACUCCUGACUGACCGAUAGUGAACCAGUACCGUGAGGGAAAGGCGAAAAGAACCCCGGCGAGGGGAGUGAAAAAGAACCUGAAACCGUGUACGUACAAGCAGUGGGAGCACGCUUAGGCGUGUGACUGCGUACCUUUUGUAUAAUGGGUCAGCGACUUAUAUUCUGUAGCAAGGUUAACCGAAUAGGGGAGCCGAAGGGAAACCGAGUCUUAACUGGGCGUUAAGUUGCAGGGUAUAGACCCGAAACCCGGUGAUCUAGCCAUGGGCAGGUUGAAGGUUGGGUAACACUAACUGGAGGACCGAACCGACUAAUGUUGAAAAAUUAGCGGAUGACUUGUGGCUGGGGGUGAAAGGCCAAUCAAACCGGGAGAUAGCUGGUUCUCCCCGAAAGCUAUUUAGGUAGCGCCUCGUGAAUUCAUCUCCGGGGGUAGAGCACUGUUUCGGCAAGGGGGUCAUCCCGACUUACCAACCCGAUGCAAACUGCGAAUACCGGAGAAUGUUAUCACGGGAGACACACGGCGGGUGCUAACGUCCGUCGUGAAGAGGGAAACAACCCAGACCGCCAGCUAAGGUCCCAAAGUCAUGGUUAAGUGGGAAACGAUGUGGGAAGGCCCAGACAGCCAGGAUGUUGGCUUAGAAGCAGCCAUCAUUUAAAGAAAGCGUAAUAGCUCACUGGUCGAGUCGGCCUGCGCGGAAGAUGUAACGGGGCUAAACCAUGCACCGAAGCUGCGGCAGCGACGCUUAUGCGUUGUUGGGUAGGGGAGCGUUC